rnacentral:pre_miRNA from 1 species
UAUAUACUCCCUCCGUCCGAAAAUACUUGUCAUCAAAAUGGAUAAAAAAGAUGCAUCUAGAACUAAAAUACGUCUAGAUACAUCCCCUUUUAUCUAUUUUGAUGACAAGUAUUUUCGGACAGAGGGAGUAGUAU